rnacentral:misc_RNA from 1 species
GGAAGUAAAAGUCGUAGCAAGGUUUCCGUAGGUGAACCUGCGGAAGGAUCAUUAUUGCAUAACCGAGGUGCGAGGGCUGUCGCUGACCCGAAAGGUCGUGCACGCCCGAGUGCCCUCACACACAUCCAUCUCACCCCUAUGUGCACCACCGCGUGGGCCCCCCUUUGGCUUGUUCGGAGGGGGGCUUACGUUUUCACACAAACUUUGUAUGCAGUGUAGAAUGUAUUUUUUGUUUUUGCGAUCACGCAAUCAAUACAACUUUCAACAACGGAUCUCUUGGCUCUC